rnacentral:rRNA from 1 species
GCUGGCGGCAGGCCUAACAUAUGCAAGUCGAACGGAGUUAUAUUGUAGCUUGCUAUGGUAUAACUUAGUGGCAGACGGGUGAGUAAUGUAUAGGAAUCUACCUAGUAGUACGGAAUAAUUGUUGGAAACGGCAACUAAUACCGUAUACGCCCUACGGGGGAAAAAUUUAUUGCUAUUAGAUGAGCCUAUAUUAGAUUAGCUAGUUGGUGGAGUAAUAGCCUACCAAGGCAAUGAUCUAUAGCUGAUCUGAGAGGAUGAUCAGCCACACUGGAACUGAGAUACGGUCCAGACUCCUACGGGAGGCAGCAGUGGGGAAUAUUGGACAAUGGGCGAAAGCCUGAUCCAGCCAUGCCGCAUGAGUGAAGAAGGCCUUUGGGUUGUAAAGCUCUUUUAGUGAGGAAGAUAAUGACGGUACUCACAGAAGAAGUCCUGGCUAACUCCGUGCCAGCAGCCGCGGUAAUACGGAGAGGGUUAGCGUUAUUCGGAAUUAUUGGGCGUAAAGGGCGCGUAGGCGGAUUAGUAAGUUAAAAGUGAAAUCCCAAGGCUCAACCUUGGAAUUGCUUUUAAAACUGCUAAUCUAGAGAUUGAAAGAGGAUAGAGGAAUUCCUAGUGUAGAGGUGAAAUUCGUAAAUAUUAGGAGGAACACCAGUGGCGAAGGCGUCUAUCUGGUUCAAAUCUGACGCUGAGGCGCGAAGGCUUGGGGAGCAAACAGGAUUAGAUACCCUGGUAGUCCACGCUGUAAACGAUGAAUGUUAAAUAUGGGAAGUUUUACUUUCUG